rfam:Punica granatum cultivar Dabenzi scaffold109, whole genome shotgun sequence.
GUGUCCUUGGAGAUACUGAUAAAAUUGGAUCGAUAUAUAGAGAAGUUUAGCAUGGCCCCUGUGCAAGGAUGUCAAGUGAAAGUCGAGAAAUGAUCCGAGUUUUC